rnacentral:rRNA from 1 species
UUCCGGUUGAUCCUGCCGGAAGCCACUGCUAUUGGGGUCCGACUAAGCCAUGCAAGUCAACUGUUCUUCGCGACCAGGGCGGACGGCUCAGUAACACGUGGGCAACCUACCCUCAGGUCAGGGAUAACCCCGGGAAACUGGGGAUAAUACCUGAUAGGUAAAGACAUCUGGAAGGAGUCUUUGCCCAAAGCUCCGGCGCCUGAGGAUGGGCCUGCGGCCGAUUAAGUUGUUCGCGGUGUAACGGACCACCAAGCCUAAGAUCGGUACGGGCACUGGGAGGUGAAGCCCGGAGAUGGGGGCUGAGAAAAGGCCCCAGGCCUUACGGGGCGCAGCAGGCGCGAAAACUCCGCAAUACGCGCAAGCGUGACGGGGGGACCCCAAGUGUCAUGCCUUCGGGUAUGACUUUUGCAGAGUGUAUAAAGCUCUGCGAAUAAAAGCUGGGUAAGACCGGUGCCAGCCGCCGCGGUAACACCGGCAGCUUGAGUGGUGACCACUAUUAUUGGGCCUAAAGCGUCGUAGCCNGUUCUGUAAGUCCUUGGGUAAAUCCACCCGGUUAACGGUUGGCCUCCCAGGGACACUGCAGAACUUGGGAACGAGAGAAGUCGGAAGUACUCCGG